UACGUAGGGGGCUAGCGUUGUCCGGAUUUAUUGGGCGUAAAGAGCGUGUAGGCGGCCAGGUAGGUCUGGUGUGAAAACUCGAGGCUUAACCUCGAGAUGUCAUCGGAAACCAUUUGGCUAGAGUCCGGAAGAGGAGAGUGGAAUUCCUGGUGUAGCGGUGAAAUGCGCAGAUAUCAGGAAGAACACCCGUGGCGAAGGCGGUUCUCUGGGACGGUACUGACGCUGAGACGCGAAAGCGUGGGGAGCGAACAGG
rnacentral:rRNA from 1 species